rnacentral:rRNA from 1 species
UACGGAGGUGGCAAGCGUUUCUCGGAAUCACUGGGCGUAAAGGGCGCGUAGGCGGGGAGGUAAGUCGGGUGUGAAAUCCCUCGGCCCAACUGAGGAACUGCGCCCGAGACUGCUUCUCUUGAGUCCCGGAGAGGAAGGUGGAAUUCCCGGUGUAGCGGUGAAAUGUGUAGAGAUCGGGAGGAACACCGGUGGCGAAGGCGGCCUUCUGGACGGUGACUGACGCUGAGGCGCGAAAGCGUGGGGAGCAAACGGG